CUCAGGGCUGUCAAGGAAUUUCCUAGGAGAUUAGAAACAGUAAGUCUAUUGUUAUUAAUGCUAGUAAACAGAAAACUCUGUGAAAUCAACAAUGAACUGUCCAAUAUAAUAAUUGGACAGUAAAUUGGACAGUAAAAAUAUUUAUCUCGGAGACAACAUUGAAUGUUGAUUUUUGAAUGAGGAAGGUUCACACAUGCGCAGUGGUUGUAGCAGUAGCACUUUGCUUCUCCCAACUGUCACUGCCGCACAUGGCGCGAAAACCGGAGAAGAAUGGAGGUUUCAGCUGCUCCAGAAGUUAUAGGAUUCAGGAAUUAUACUGACUGAAGAAGAGACAAAGAGAUUCAGAGAUUUACAUUUUCUCACACUCUACAUUGUCACCUGGAGUCAGCUCUGUAACCGUGGCCCCAAGUUUUUGUGAUUUACAUUUUCUCACACUACAUUGUCACCUGGAGUCAGCUCUGUAACCGUGGGCCCAAGUUUUUGUGGAAAUGGCUGAGACCGAUUUCCUCAGUGCCAUGGAGAGAACGACAGUGGGGAUCUAUGUUGUGAAAGACACUGCCAGCAGUGAACCCUCUGAUGUCAGGAUAGUCCUCGAAGGUGUGAUGGUGCUUCAAGAUCUUGAGAAUGUAGCACUUGCUUCUGCAAUGUUGUUUGGGCUCUUAUGCCUUGAACAUGCAGCACCCUACAAAGCUCCGCUACACCUUUGAGGCAUUUCAAAAGAUCAUCAUGGAGCCUCAGCAUCAGACACUUAAUAAUAUGAGCCUGUCAGCUGCAAAAACAGAACUUUUAGUGACACUAACUGACCAUGCACAGUUGCCCUAUAUAACGUUGCAGCCCGGUUCACAGCAAUCUUGCUCAAUGCUGGACCAAUUUUCAUGAAUUAACCACUAGAUAGCCUAAAUUUAUAUUGAUUGGCUGUAAAUGUAGCUGUUUUUUAAGUAUGCUUGUUUUUCCACUGUCCAAUUAACAUUUUUAUAUCUAUAAUUUCUUUAAAUUGACUGAUUAAUACUGUAAAUGUGCUGACAUUCCUUUUUGAUUAAAAGUACAUAUUCAGUA